ACCUUAUAUAAAUGUAGUAACGCAAGACAGUUACGCAUUUCCCUGUAAGGUGGUGUUUCAAUAGAAGUAUAAGCGACAAGUCUUAUUGUUAAGCUACGAGUUGAAAUAAGAUGAGCUUAUAUAGAAUAGGUUAACCGUAAGACCUUGAGUUGAAAAACUCUAAAAUUAACCUAGGGAUUGAAUUUUUAAAAUUUCGUAUCUCCUAGUUACGGUCGU
rnacentral:sRNA from 12 species